GGCCUGCCCUACCAUAUGAUUAUGCAUGCUUUGCAGACAGGCCGGGAAAUAUGGAGUGUAUACUGAUGUUUCCUUCUACCGUGGUUGGAUACAAGAACAGUUUGAUGCCAAUGGAGGGGCAACAUUAGUCCCGUAAACAUUAUUGUAAUUUUAACAAAGAAUUGACAAGUUUGUAAGAUUAGAAAGAUUAAAGCAAAUAUUUAUUUUGUA